rnacentral:rRNA from 1 species
UGGUGUAGCGGUGAAAUGCUUAGAUAUCACGAAGAACUCCGAUUGCGAAGGCAGCUUGCUGGACUGUAACUGACGCUGAUGCUCGAAAGUGUGGGUAUCAAACAGGAUUAGAUACCCUGGUAGUCCACACAGUAAACGAUGAAUACUCGCUGUUUGCGAUAUACAGUAAGCGGCCAAGCGAAAGCGUUAAGUAUUCCACCUGGGGAGUACGCCGGCAACGGUGAAACUCAAAGGAAUUGACGGGGGCCCGCACAAGCGGAGGAACAUGUGGUUUAAUUCGAUGAUACGCGAGGAACCUUACCCGGGCUUAAAUUGCAAAUGAAUGUUCUGGAAACAGAUCAGCCGCAAGGCAUUUGUGAAGGUGCUGCAUGGUUGUCGUCAGCUCGUGCCGUGAGGUGUCGGCUUAAGUGCCAUAACGAGCGCAACCCUUAUCGAUAGUUACCAUCAGGUUAUGCUGGGGACUCUGUCGAGACUGCCGUCGUAAGAUGUGAGGAAGGUGGGGAUGACGUCAAAUCAGCACGGCCCUUACGUCCGGGGCUACACACGUGUUACAAUGGGGGGUACAGAAGGCGGCUACCUGGUGACAGGAUGCUAAUCCCAAAAACCUCUCUCAGUUCGGAUCGAAGUCUGCAACCCGACUUCGUGAAGCUGGAUUCGCUAGUAAUCGCGCAUCAGCCAUGGCGCGGUGAAUACGUUCCCGGGCCUUGUACACACCGCCCGUCAAGCCAUGGGAGCCGGGGGUACCUGAAGUCCGUAACCGCAAGGAUCGGCCUAGGGUAAAACUGGUGACUGGGGCUAAGUCGUAACAAGGUAGCCGUACCGGAAGGUGCGGCUG